rnacentral:rRNA from 1 species
GAUGAACGCUGGCGACGUGCCUAAUACAUGCAAGUAGAACGCUGAAGGAGGAGCUUGCUCUUCUGGAUGAGUUGCGCACGGGUGAGUAACGCGUAGGUAACCUGCCUGGUAGCGGGGGAUAACUCUUGGAAACGAUAGCUAAUACCGCAUGACAACAGUUAUUGCAUGAUAACUGUUUAAAAGGGGCAACUGCUCCACUACCAGAUGGACCUGCGUUGUAUUAGCUAGUUGGUGAGGUAACGGCUCACCAAGGCGACGAUACAUAGCCGACCUGGGAGGGGGGUCGGCCACACUGGGACUGAGACACGGCCCAGACUCCUACCGGAGGCAGCAGGAGGGGAUCUUCGGCAAUGGACGGAAGUCUUGCCGAGCAACGCCGCGUGAGUGAAGAAGGGUUUCGGAUCGUAAAGCUCUGUUGUAAGAGAAGAACGAGUGUGAGAGUGGAAAGUUCACACUGUGACGGUAUCUUACCAGAAAGGGACGGCUAACUACGUG